CCUACGAGCCUACAGGUUUUCUGUUCUAACUGAUAAUUAAUUGCACCCACCUGGUGUCCCAGGUCUAGAGCGUCUGCUAAAUGACUUAAAUGUAAAUGUAGAUCAGUCCCCGAUUAAAGGAGAACAAUGAAGAAAUGCAGUGGACCUGGCUUUGAGACCCAGAGGUAGCCUUCCACAUGCUUCCCACAAUAAUUUGGGUGAAUUUUGGCCCAUUCCUCCUGACAGAGCUGAUAUAACUGAGUCAGGCAGCCAGCCUCCGAAGGGGGACUUGAAGAGUGAGACUGCAAAGUCCAGGCACUGCUGCUCUCUUUGUUCUGUGUUUGUAGUGUUUUUAGUUAAUCUGUGGUUUGUAAUGGAGGACAUCAGGUGGAUCCACGUCUGGGUUUUGGGCGGAACACUUAACUCCUGGAGAACAAGAGCAGAGUUAUAGGGAACAGGGUAGGAGAGAGAGACGUAAACAAGCAAACACACAGGAGAACAUUUGGUGGAUUAGUGCGGUGUUACAAAAUAAAUUAACAGCGGGCAAUCUCAGUCCGUGCCUGAAACCCACAUCAGGUGAGGUCUCAGUGAUCUGAAAGUACGAUAUUCAAAAAUGGCAAUUGACAAACAAGAACACUAAGUCAAUCACAAAUUUGAAAGACUAUAGUAUAUGCAAUACUUUUUAUGUACAUCGUUUACCUCAGUCAACAGCUGCGGCUAAUUUCCGUACUCAGCCUGGAUUCUGAUGUUGUUUGCAAAGAUAAUUACCUUCAGGUUGUUCUCCCACCCUUCCUGGUAUCAAAAGACUUGCCUAUGGCAGUCUGGUUGGUGAAUUCACCAAACAUGGAGGAGGGGGUAGGAAAGCGAUAUCUAUUAACAAUGUAAGAUAUUGAAAUAAGUUUGAUUAUGUACCAUGGAAAAACAAAUUGUAAAAAAUGAAUAAAACAAACCAUUGGUCAUAGAAUAUAACCUACAACAUAUAUACCCCAACCAGAAGCCAUGGAUUACAGGCAACAUUCACACUGAGCUAAAGGGUAGAGCUGCCGCUUU